AAGGCAUGAUGAGGACAUUUCUUAAGAAAUUCCUUAAAUGUUUCCCACAAUUCAUUAAUAUAUUUUCCAUCAAAAUGGGUAAGUAAAUGAUGUCAUUUCUAAUUUC